UCUCAACCCUAAUUUUUCUACUGAGUUCUGAUUUUCUAUUUUUAUUUAUUUUAUUUCAUUUUAUUUUUGAGACAAGGUCUUGCUCUGUCACACAGGCUAUAGUGCAGUGACACAAUCAUGGCUCACUGCAGCCUGGACCUCCCAGGCUCAAGUGAUUCUCCUGCCAUAGCCUCCUGAGUAGGUAGAAUGACAGGCAUGCACCAUCAUGCCCAGCUAAUUUUUUAAAAACAACUAUUUGCAGAGAUGGGGUCUUCCUGUGUUGCCCAGGCU
rnacentral:lncRNA from 10 species